rnacentral:lncRNA from 1 species
UUCAAAUGUAGAAAAUGGUGGAUUGAACCUGGUUUUAUAGCUAGCUAAACCUCUCACUUGUAUGAUAGUCCAAUCAAAUUACAUUAUAUUGUCACCGAUGCGUGAACAAAACAAACAGACACAAUAGUUAAAAAUGUCAAAAAUAGGGGUACAGCAGUCAACAUUGUGUUAUCAUCUUAAUAACUAUAAAAACAACAAAUGUAACGAAGAAGCACAAAAAGGCAUACAUCAAAUUAACAUCCUCAUUUUGAUUAUAUUAUACGAUUUUAUUUGUCUAUGUAAAAUGCAC